UUGUACAGGAUAGGUAGGAGCCUUAGAAGCGUGAGCGCUAGCUUACGUGGAGGCAUUGGUGGGAUACUACCCUAAUUGUAUUGGAUUUCUAACCCGCAGCACUUAUCGUGCUGGGAGACAGUGUCAGGCGGGCAGUUUGACUGGGGCGGUCGCCUCCUAAAGAGUAACGGAGGCGCUCAAAGGUUCCCUCAGAAUGGUUGGAAAUCAUUCAUAGAGUGUAAAGGCAUAAGGGAGCUUGACUGCGAGACCUACAAGUCGAGCAGGGUCGAAAGACGGACUUAGUGAUCCGGUGGUUCCGCAUGGAAGGGCCAUCGCUCAACGGAUAAAAGCUACCCCGGGGAUAACAGGCUUAUCUCCCCCAAGAGUUCACAUCGACGGGGAGGUUUGGCACCUCGAUGUCGGCUCAUCGCAUCCUGGGGCUGUAGUCGGUCCCAAGGGUUGGGCUGUUCGCCCAUUAAAGCGGUACGCGAGCUGGGUUCAGAACGUCGUGAGACAGUUCGGUCCCUAUCCGUCGUGGGCGUAGGAAAUUUGAGAGGAGCUGUCCUUAGUACGAGAGGACCGGGAUGGACAUACCUCUGGUGUACCAGUUGUCGUGCCAACGGCAUAGCUGGGUAGCUAUGUAUGGACGGGAUAAGUGCUGAAAGCAUCUAAGCAUGAAGCCCCCCUCGAGAUGAGAUUUCCCAACUUCGGUUAUAAGAUCCCUCAAAGAUGAUGAGGUGAAUAGGUUCGAGGUGGAAGCGUAGCGAUACGUGGAGCUGACGAAUACUA
rnacentral:rRNA from 1 species